rnacentral:lncRNA from 1 species
AGAAAAGAAAGCCUUCAUCCUAGUGGGAAGCUCUGCAGGAACCCCUAAAGCUUGAAACUGAACCAGCCUUAUCUGUUAACAGGCUUCACCCCACCCCCACCCCCACCCUAUUGGUUUCCGCAGGCAGUCGCGACUUCUCUAAAGUCUAGUUUCUCAGGACAGUGGAAGCUUAAAGCUUGAUCCUGACACCAUGUGGGCUCUUAUCUUCUGGCUUCUGAGUCACCCCCAGGACGGCGGAGCCCGUAAGUAGGGUUGUGUGCUGGGUAAAUUUAAGACCGGAAAACCUCCAACCUCGAACCUUGGGCCAUUUUGCAGAAGACUAGGUUUCAGUUAGUAGCUCUGUCUUCAAACUUGCUAUGUAGACCAGGCUGGCCUUGAACUCAAAGGAGUUGGGACUAAAGGCAUGCACCGCCAAACCAGCCCUUUCCUUACAUUCUAAUGUGGUUUUGAGUAUUUGCUUGUAUGUGUGCAUAACAUGCCAGAGGUCAGAAGAGGGCAUGAAGCUCCCUCCAGCUGGUGCUCAGAACUAUACCACAGUCUUCUGGAAGAACAGUAAGUGCUCUUAACAGCUGGGCUGCCUUCCCUACUUCUGCGAACUACAUGUUUACUUAUAAAGUAUACACUGUGCACACUGUUGUGUAAAUUUAUCCAUAUGCAUGUUUGUGUGUGCUCAUGUGUAGCCUGCAACCCAUAGUAUAGCCCAGAUGUGGAGGUCAGAGGACAACCUAAUUUGGAUCAGGUCUCCUUCCACCAUAUGGGUGGCAGCAGGUGCCUUUACUAGCUGAGCAGUCUGUCUCCCUGGCAUCAUCAUUUGUUAAAGUCCUGGUUCUUUCUGCCAGCCCCAUGCUCCUGGACAUAAGAUUCAGGCUCAAAUUAUAUUUACAAAUACCUUGGCCAUAUAGCUAGGCUCUACUCUGACUAGAUUAUAACUAAAAAAUACCCAUUUAUUUUAAGCUGCAUUUUGCCACGUGGCUGAUUACUUGUGCUCAGGUACCACGUGUCCAUGUGUCUGUCUCCUCACCUUUUUCCAGGCUCCUCUCUCUCCCGGACUCCUCCUCUCCCAGAAUUCUUUCUCCUCCCAAUGUCCCACCUCUAUUUCCUGCUUAAGCUGUAGGCUUUUAAAUUGACAGGUAAGGCAUCCACAAUACACAAGAUGAUCUCUCUACAGUCAUUAUCAUUAUCAUCAUCAUUAAUAAUAAUUAUUGUAUUAUAGGAUUCUAUUUAUGUGACCCUCAAAUUCAUGAUCCUCCUGCCUCACACAUACAUGUAUAAUUAUGUAUUUCUGCUAGCUGGUUAUAAUGGUUGAUUUCGUGUGUCAAUUUGACUAGAACACAAUAUUCAGUUGAAAUGGAGCUGGAUAUGGCAUCUCACACCCAUGAUCCUGUAAUCAUUUGGAAGACUGAGUAGGAAGAUUACUGAGUUCUAGGCAACCCUCCACCCAACCCCAGAAAAAUAACUACUGUAGAUAUUUCAGGAUGUGAGUGGCUUCCUCGUCCUCCUAAACAGGGACCACCCAGGGCAACCUGGAAAUCCUGCCUGGGUGUGUAUCCACUGUGUAUCCACUGAUAAAGACAAAAGCCAGGAGGCAGAGGCUGAGGACUUGGAAGGCAGGCGGAUCUCUCUGAGUAAAGGACAGCCUGAUCUACAGAGUGAGUUCCAGGACAGCCAAGGCUCCCCACAAAACAAAACAACAACAACAAAAUGCAGUUCAAUACACACUAGAAUUUGAUACAAUACAAUGAAAUCUUAUUUGGCUAUAAAAUGAAAUUCUAUGCCCUUUUUAAGCAAAAUUAAAUUAUGAUAUUGGGAGAGAUGGAUAAAACUGAAAGAAGCAAACCUCAGAAAGACAAAUAUACAUCUUGUCUCUGGAACUCCAGUUUACAAUUAUUAUUAUUUUGUAUGUGCUGAGUAUAAUGGUGCACACCUGUGAUCCCAGCAUUGGGAGGUGCAGGCAGAAAGAUCAGAAGUUCAAGGCCAGCCUCAGCUACAUGAGACCCUGUCUCAAAAAUAAAGAUUAAAAAACAAACAUAUUUUUUAAAAGCGGGGGUGCUGGAGAGAUGGCUCAGCAGUUAAGAGCACUAACUGCUCUUCCGAAGGUCCUGAGUUCAAAUCCCAGCAACCACAUGGUGGCUUACAACCAUCUGUAAUGAGAUCGGAUGCCCUAGUCUGGAGUGUCUGAAGACAGCUACAGUGUACUUACAUAUAAUAAAUAAAUAAAUCUUUUUUAAAAACCAUAAAAUU